GGCAAGGCACCAUGACUGCCCAUCGAGAUGCCAAGAAGGGCUAUGGAACUAUGCAGGUGGCUAGUGGUCAGACUGAAGUCACCAGCUGAAUACCUUAAGGAGGACUCUUGAGGCUCAUAAUGGAGUUCCUGGGGCACAGGGAUUAGUUAUGAGCAUUAAAGUUCCUAAGACCCAGUGACAGUACUGGGAGAAACCAAGGCUGAAGAGUCAGGUUGAAGCACAGGCUGGUCUCAACCUCCUGACCUCAAGUGAUCUGCCCGCCUCAGCCUCCCAAAGUGCUGGGAUGAUAGGCGUGAGCCACCACACCCGGCCAAGCACAGGCUUUUGAAUGGUCUCCCUCUCCCCAGCCCAGGUACAUGAGGCCAAGGUGAACUGUGCAUCCUGAGACCUUGUGUCCCUGAGUCUCCUUUCUGAGUGCAAGCUGCACUGUGAGCUGGCUGUGGGAUACUCACACAUUCCCACAUUCUCCUUUCUGCCACAUCUCGCCCUUCUGGACCUGCAC
rnacentral:lncRNA from 10 species